rnacentral:tmRNA from 2 species
ACCUUUGCAAUCGGACGCUGAGAAGCCUAUAUUUAAUUUGUCGGGCAACCGACUAUGGCGAUAAACGUUUUUCGGAAUAAUCGUUUCGGACCCGGGGGCGGUACCCGGCGCCUCCACCAAUUCGAGCCAGCGCUUUAUAAGCUUAAGCGCUGGCUGUUCAGGGGGCGAAAUAGGAUCGACGAGCGUGGUAAAGGACUGACUUUCGCCCGGCAUUGUACCACCGUAUCGGGCUACUUUUACAAAUGCUAACGAUAACAACGAAGCAUUUGCGGUUGCCGCUUAACAGCUAAGCAACCACGGGGUUCGGGGGGCACCUGGCAACAGAAGCCCCCCACU